GGUUGCUAGGGGUUGCUUGCGGAGCGGAACCGAUUAAUAGACCAAGAAUACAAUUGUCAAUUUUAAAAUUACAAAUAUCAUUUUACUCUUGAAAAAUAUCUAAAAAAUAUCCUGCGUUUAAUUAAAAAAUUUAUAAUUUUUAUAAAGGUGUCAAUCGGUUAAUUAUUCGAACGGCAACUGUUUAAAUUAUAUAAAUACAUAGCGUUCGGAAAAUCUCGUUCACUUUCGAAAUUUUUCGGGCUUGCUUCUAGCAGGUAAGCAGCCUAUACCAAGCGACAGGUGUAAGAUAAAGAUCGUUAAGGGGGUACCCCCGUGUAAUGGAUUAAAAAAAUCCAUUUUUAUUUUUUUGCUUACAGCAGCUUGAAGAAGCAGAUAUUCGGAGCGCUUAUGAGUUGAAUAGUAGAAGGCCGGGGCCUAUCGUUACGAGUAAAAAAAAAAAAAAAAAAAACAGAAUUGAAGCAAGAGUAGAGCAAUCCACUUUGAACAAACACUUUGUGUUUUUCUUAAACUGUGUUUUUAAAACUUUCGUCCAUCAUAUCUUGACAACGGUUCCGCCGUUUCAUUUAAAAUUUAUAGACUCAGCACAUGUAGACGCACGGAAUCAUCCAGAAAUUCCGAAAGUCUGCCAAAAACCUAAUUUUCAAUAUUUGCAAACGAUUCUAGUUCACUCGAUGCAUUUAGGUUUACACAUAAAAACGCCGUUUUUUUUUUUUAGAUAAACGAUGAGUCGAAAUCAUGGAGAAAAGGAAAGUUGAAAAUUAUUAUCUGCGUCAACGAAUUUCUUCGUAAUCACGUCCGUAAAUCCAUACAUUUACUAAUCGCAAGUUAAAAUUUUAACAUACAAUAUUUCUUAAAUAUUUUCAUAUGAAAAUAUGAAGAAAAAAAAAAAAUUCAAAAACUGUUUGGAGAGAAACGGCUUAGUUAGCUUGUUUUUGGAUCUGUGAUAUUGAUACUUUUAAAAAAUUAUUGUGUAAAUUUUCUGUACAAUAUUGUAGAAAUUUUAUACAUUAAAAAGAUGGAAAAGAAAUUAUGUUUAUUUAUUCUUUUUCUAAAACUUUUAA